rnacentral:rRNA from 1 species
AUGAACCAGCGUGCUCAUGCAUGCCUAUGGAAGUUGAAAGGAAACAAAUGUUCCAGGAUCACUAUCAGCAUAUAUUUUCUAAAUGUCAACCUGGAGAAAACGCGAUGGCCGUUUGUGUAUAUGUCUCAAACAAAAAAGUGUGUUUUUUGUAGCAUUUUACCCUGUCUUGUUGCAUCCUCUCUCUUUGGUUACAGGAGAAGUUCAUAUACAGCGACAACAGCAAAGUUCAUGUUAGAAAAAUUGAAGUCCAUCUAUAUGGAAGUUCAUAAUUGUUGUGUGUAUGCAGGCGAGCACAAAAAAACUUGUAGCUGA